rnacentral:rRNA from 1 species
UACGAAGGGGGCUAGCGUUGCUCGGAAUCACUGGGCGUAAAGCGCACGUAGGCGGGUCCUUAAGUCAGGGGUGAAAUCCUGGAGCUCAACUCCAGAACUGCCUUUGAUACUGAGGAUCUCGAGUUCGGGAGAGGUGAGUGGAACUGCGAGUGUAGAGGUGAAAUUCGUAGAUAUUCGCAAGAACACCAGUGGCGAAGGCGGCUCACUGGCCCGAUACUGACGCUGAGGUGCGAAAGCGUGGGGAGCAACAGG